AUUUGAAAUCUGGCGUCUUUGGCGUCCGAGUUGUAAUUUGCAGAGGGCGCUUUGGCAUUGGCAGCGGUCCAAGUUCCUUGGAACAGGACGUCACAGAGGGUGAGAAUCCCGUACGUGGUCGCUAGCCUUUACCGUGUAAAGCCCCUUCGACGAGUCGAGUUGUUUGGGAAUGCAGCUCUAAAUGGGAGGUAAAUUUCUUCUAAAGCUAAAUACUGGCCAGAGACCGAUAGCGCACAAGUAGAGUGAUCGAAAGAUGAAAAGCACUUUGGAAAGAGAGUUAAAAAGCACGUGAAAUUGUUGAAAGGGAAGCGCUUGCAGCCAGACUUGCCUGUAGUUGCUCAUCCGAGUUUUUACCCGGUGCACUCUUCUAUAGGCAGGCCAGCAUCAGUUUGGGCGGUUGGAUAAAGGUCUCUGUCACGUACCUCCUCUCGGGGAGAUCUUAUAGGGGAGACGAAAUGCAACCAGCCUGGACUGAGGUCCGCGCAUCUGCUAGGAUGCUGGCGUAAUGGCUGUAAGCGGCCCGUCUUGAAACACGGACCAAGGAGUCUAACAUCUAUGCGAGUGUUUGGGUGUCAAGCCCGAGCGCGUAAUGAAAGUGAACGGAGGUGGGAACCUUUCGGGGUGCACCAUCGACCGAUCCUGAUGUCUUCGGAUGGAUUUGAGUAAGAGCAUAGCUGUUGGGACCCGAAAGAUGGUGAACUAUGCUUGAAUAGGGUGAAGCCAGAGGAAACUCUGGUGGAGGCUCGCAGCGGUU
rnacentral:rRNA from 1 species